GUGUGUGUGUGUGUGUGUGUAUCUCUCUCUGUUUGUAUCUCUAACAUGUUUGCACAAAUGUACAUGAAUGCUUAUUUGCAGACAAUAAGACAUUCUUUUCUGCAUUACUGUGUACCUAAAAUUUCUACAUAUAUGGGCAAAUGAUUAAGUGAGAGGAAAUCCUGCACUGUAGAGCUGAAGUAUUGGUCUAAAGCACCACAGAAGAAUGAGAAUGAGAAAUGGCUUAGGUUUGAAAUAAUCACUAAAUAGCCCAUGUUUUGACUGCCACGUGAUCUCUGCCCUGGACCAAAUUGAGGAAGUUAACUUUCAGUCCAUGACUUUGAUUUAGAUCUUUCAAUUGCAAGUCAUCCUUUUAAAAUAAGGAUGAUACAGGAUUCUGACUUAAAAUUUCUGAUCAUGUUAAUUUUUACAACUUAGAAAUGUAUAGUACUGCUAGUGCUAGUGAAUCAAGACUGAAAAAAAAAAGCUAGUGAAUUUGGUUACCUUCAGUUUCUAUCCAAGUGGUUGCAAACCACUAAAUAUUUUUUCCUUUUGUAUUUAUAGGAGCUUGGUCUUAGCCCAUCAG
rnacentral:misc_RNA from 1 species